CAGGUAGUUCUGAGGGGCCCACGGGGGAUCAUCCGCGGCUGGGGGUGGUGGAAGGGUCAGGUCCCCAAAUUCAGGCACGGCCGGGAGUGGUGGAAGGGUCGGGUCCCCAAAUUCCAGCACGGCUGGGGGUGGUGGGGUCAGGUCCCCAAAUUCAGGCACAGGUGGGGGUGGAAGGCUCAGAUCCCCAAAUUCAGGCACAGCUGGUGAUGGAAGGGUCAGGUCCCCAAAUUCAGGCACAGCUGGGGGUGGUGGAAGGGUCAGAUCCCCAAAUUCAGGCACAGCUGGGGGUGAUGGAAGGGUCAGGUCCCCAAAUUCAGGCACAGCUGGUGAUGGAAGGGUCAGAUCCCCAAAUUCAGGCUCGGCUGGGGGUGGUGG